AUGGCAGCUAUCACAUCCGUAUGCCAGGAGACAUCUAAAGGAAGGGAGAAAAGGCAAAAUGUUGGGCCUUCUAGAGCAAAGAGGAGAAGAGGCACAGGAAUUCCCAGCAAAUGGACAAGAGAAGCUAUUCACAUCUUCCAAACUCUGAGACAAGACAUCCCAGGACAAAUCACUGUGAGGACUGCAGCCAGUUAUGGCAGAAGGUCCCGCAUCACUGAAUCCAGAGCUGGAGGAGUCCAGGAGACACCAGCAGUCAUUUUGCCGGAGAUAUUGAUCAGCCAGAGAAUACACGUCUGUGCACUGGGUAAGUCCAGGAGCAGGAGUGGAGGCAGGUUUACCUGAAGUAAGCAACAAUGUCCAGUGGAAUGAGG
rnacentral:lncRNA from 1 species